UACAGAGGGGGCAAGCGUUGUUCGGAAUUACUGGGCGUAAAGGGCGCGUAGGCGGCCUGCUAAGUCGAACGUGAAAUCCCCGGGCUCAACCCGGGAACUGCGUCCGAUACUGGCAGGCUUGAAUCCGGGAGAGGGAUGUGGAAUUCCAGGUGUAGCGGUGAAAUGCGUAGAUAUCUGGAGGAACACCGGUGGCGAAGGCGACAUCCUGGACCGGUAUUGACGCUGAGGCGCGAAAGCCAGGGGAGCAAACGGG
rnacentral:rRNA from 1 species